UACGGGGGGGGCAAGCGUUGUUCGGAAUUACUGGGCGUAAAGGGCUCGUAGGCGGCCAACUAAGUCAGACGUGAAAUCCCUCGGCUUAACCGGGGAACUGCAUCUGAUACUGGAUGGCUUGAGUUCGGGAGAGGGAUGCGGAAUUCCAGGUGUAGCGGUGAAAUGCGUAGAUAUCUGGAGGAACACCGGUGGCGAAGGCGGUCAACUGGCCCGUAACUGACGCUGAGGCACGAAAGCGUGGGGAGCGAACAGG
rnacentral:rRNA from 1 species